GAAGUUGGCCAGGCGAUCGCUGUUCCGCAAGGGAUGGAGGAAAGUCCGGGCUCCACAGGGCAGAGUGCCAGGUAACGCCUGGGAGGUGAAAGCCUACGGAAAGUGCCGCAGAAAAUAUACCGCCUAAGCGGGCCCGUUUAUUCGGGGUCGCCGGUAAGGGUGAAAUGGUGCGGUAAGAGCGCACCGCGCAGCUGGUAACAGCUGUGGCAGGGUAAACCCCACUCGGAGCAAGACCAAAUAGGGGAACGUUGGUGUGGCCCGCACUGUUCCCGGGUAGGUUGCUUGAGGUACGUGGUGACACGUAUCCCAGAUGAAUGGUCGUCCACGACAGAACCCGGCUUAUCGGCCAACUUCCACC
rnacentral:RNase_P_RNA from 1 species